UCUCCGUAGGUGAACCUGCGGAGGGAUCAUUACUGAGUGAGGGUCUCCGGGCCCGACCUCCAACCCUUUGUGAACCAAACUUGUUGCUUCGGGGGCGACCCUGCCGUUCGCGGCGUGGGGCCCCUGGAGUCCAUCAAACCCUGCGUAACUAAGUCGUCGGAGUUUAAACAAAUUAAACAAAACUUUCAACAACGGAUCUCUUGGUUCGGGCAUCGAUGAAGAACGCGC
rnacentral:misc_RNA from 1 species